rnacentral:lncRNA from 1 species
GAUGUCACGCCCCGAACCUCGAGCGCGUCAACAUCCCACCAUGGUCAUUCAAAUGCGACAUUCCCAGGCAGUGUCGCCGACCCCAUUCAUUUAUUAUUGCGCAAGCGGAACGUACUAUAAAACCCCUGACAAUAAAAUACGGGAUAGAAUAGCAGGAAACAAUUUCACAACCAAUCACUUACACAAACCAACAGAGUUACAGACGAAGGCCUACAGCCAAGAGUCUACAAAAGACCGGCUCUUAAAAAUGAAUUGCCCUACAACCUACAAGUCGGACACGUUCUCCAAUCUUAUGACUUCACCUCUGCAUCUCCUCACGGCCAACCAAAGCUAUCUGGCCGCUCCGUCCACCAAGGACCUGAAAUGGUUAUUCAAUAACCACUGAGACAACGUCUCAGCAAGUUCAACCCCCUAAACCCUUAUUAGAAAGAAAAUACGCCCCAGAGUGGUCUAGCCACACAGCACAGAAGACUUACCUCGCCUUCUUGCCUUCCUGCAGGUUAGUACAAUUCAUAUCACUCAAGCACCAGUAAUGAUAAGAAUGUAAGCCAUCGGAACACAAUCAAUUUCACUUAAUUUCACAAUCACAGCAAGCAUUCCAUGUCAUCAUUAUCCACUGCCACACAAGAGUACAACUUAUUCGACGGUCGGCUAUCUACUAAUAUUACAACAUUUCUAGAAGAAUAAAGGUCCAGUCGGUCUCGCCACUACUGCGACCAUGCCACGUCGUUCUAUCGACAGCAUUUCUAGAAUAAUAAUGGUCCAGUCGGUCUCGCCACUACUGCGACCAUGCCACGUCGUUCUAUCGACAGCGUUUCUAGAAUAAUAAUGGUCCAGUCGGUCUCGUCACUACUGCGACCAAGCCACGUCGUUCUAUCGACAGCGUUUCUAGAAUAAUAAUGGUCCAGUCGGUCUCGCCACUACUGCGACCAUGCCACGUCGUUCUAUCGACAGCAUUUCUAGAAUAAUAAUGGUCCAGUCGGUCUCGCCACUACUGCGACCAAGCCACGUCGUUCUAUCGACAGCAUUUCUAGAAUAAUAAUGGUCCAGUCGGUCUCGCCACUACUGCGACCAAGCCACGUCAUUCUCUUGACGGCAUUUCUAGAAGAAUAAGGAUCCAGUCGGCCUAGCCACUACUGCGACCCGAGCCUUUCAACUAGCACACGACAAUUCAAUACCGAUCCUUGGAUACUUUGCAUGUCACUCACGUACUCCAAUUUCAGUAUUAACCCUUCCAAAUUCGAUUUCGGUGUCAAACCCGACACGUGGGAAUUUCUGAAUAAAAUUUCUAUUUUUCACAAUCAACAUUCAAUUUGCAAUAUUUACUCAUCAAAUUCAAAUUCUAAACACACAGUAGCGAUCGGCACGAAAUUCUGAGCAAAUAGGAUCAAAAAUAAAUUUUCGAGUUUUUUUUUUUUAUAAUAAUAAUAUUUUAAUAAUUUCGGAAUAUAAUAUAAUAUUAUAAAUUCCAGAAUUCCGAAACAAUUAAAUAAUUCAAAAAUAAAACCCUAUUAUGUCACAUCAAGGCUUUAUAUUAAAAAUAAGCAUACUUAACUUUAAACUAAACACACUUUAACUUAAUUAAACACCAUAAUCUAAUCAUCAACCAAAUAAACUAAUUUAACCAACUAAGCUUACUUAAUUUAGGCUAAGCACACUUAGGGCAUCAUUAACCGUCUAAUCAAGAUUUAGUGAGUUAAACUCACCGGAUUAGCGAGUCGAGCGGACCAAAACGACGGGGACGCCGAGGAGAACAACUUUCCUCAAAGCGGGCCGAGCAUCCGGGCUCGGGAAGCCAACCAAAACUGGCCAAAACCGGGCUGCCAUACCCAUUUUUCCAGCUGCUGUCCACUGCUGGUUCAGGCCGAGAAAGGGUAGAUCCGGUGCUUGGAUGAGAUGGGGAAGGAUCGGGGAAGGUUGAGGGGUCGAACCGGACCUAGGCGGGGCCCGAACGGUGGCCGGAGGUGGCCGAAUGGCUCCGGCACGGGCUGAUGCAGUAGCUGCGAAGCGAGCUGAGGCGGAGUGGAGACGGUGCGACGGCGGGCCGGCGAGCGCGCGCGGGUCUUCGCGCGCGGACAGGCGGCGACCGCGACGAACGGCGAGCGGCUACGAGCGUCGAGCGAUCUUCAGCUUCUUUGGUUGCUGGGUUUCGAAGAAGAAGAUGAAGAACAUGGAGGAGAGGGCUCGACGGGAGAGAGAGGAAGAAGAGAGGGAGGAGAGAGAAGGAGGGGGGCCCUUUUUAUUUUCUUUUUCUCUUUCUUU